ensembl:lncRNA
ACUCUUUCUGUUGUAUCUAGAUCAGUGAUGGAGGAGGAUCUAGGGAACCCUGUGGCUAAGAAGACUGAGGAGGAGUCCAGUAGUGUCCUUCUCACUUACUUCAAAGGAGACAUCAACAGCAUGGUGGAUGAACAUUUCUCCCGUGCUCUGAGUCAAGCAGCAAAACCGAAGGGAGAACGCUCCGAAAUCAAAAGAAACUGUAAAGUUGCUCAGACAAGUAACUGUUCCUCUCAAAUUUGGCUUUUACACAAAAUAUUUGAUUUGUUAAAUGAAUUUUAACAAUUCCUGUGUUUUUUUUUUCUUCCCUAAGAUGGACUUGGAUCAAGUCAAUGGGAAGCACAGUCACAAACCAGGUUUCAGCACUUGUUUCCUCCAGAACAUCUCCGGGAAGGAACAAGCAGAGAGUCUCAAUCAAACCAUCAUAUGCCACCAGAUCACCCUGCAAACAGUGCUGCUCUGUGGUCAGGAGAUUCUAGGCAGGGAUUGAGUCUUGCUCUGCCCCCCAUGAUGCCCUACCCCUCAGCUGUAUCUUCUGAUGGUUUGAUGGUGGCAGAACACCAGUACUCUAAUUCUCUGUUAAACUUGCUUCACAACGAUCACCCUGACACGGGCACAGUGGUGCUACCCUCCUCCAAACAAGACCUCAUGUCUGGAUGGACCAAGUACCCAGGAUUUGGCAAUCAGAUGAAUUGCAAUAUCAAUCUUAACUCUGAUUUAAAAGGAAGAACAAAGAAGUCUUUCAUCAUUUUCUUGUUUAACUGGACCCUGCAAUGCUUCUCCUGGAGGCGUCUGUACAUCCAACCUGUUCAGAAACAAGCUCUUCAUGUACCGAAGCACAGAAGAAGAUUGUACAGGAGAUUGGCCUCAGGCUCUAUAUGGUUAAAGACGUUUUACACGCACACAGAAACACACACUAAAUCUGUUUUUCUUUUUUAUUAUUAUUAUUAUUAUUAUUUGUAGAGUGUCAGGUGGAGUUUGUUAUUGUUGUUGUUUUUUUUAAUAGCAAACACCUGAUAUACUUUUUGUCUGAAAGCUAUUUUUGUUGCAUUUAAUUUGUCUAAUAAGGCUGCUCCAGGUCUAAAUAAAUGUAAAUGAUUUGAAAAAUUAUUAUGAACAUAAUUACAUAAAGAAAUGUAUAAAUGUACAAAACCUAAAAGCAUACAAAGGUUUUAUAUGGGUUUUAUUAUAAUUUAAGAGAACAUUACCAAACUUCUCAAUGCUAUCAUGUCAAAUUCAGCUACUUUAAGUGCCAGACAAUACAGUAUUGGAUGCACAGUCUUUGAUGCCAACAACAAAAGGAAGUUUUUAUUUUGCAAAUGUAUUUUGCUAUCCUAACCAUGCACAAUUAUUAGCAUUGUUUUUCCCUGCUAUUGUUGAUAAUCAGAAUAGAACUGCAAGACAUUUUAGGUCACAAACCACUUGUUGAAAUCACUUUGGUAUUGUAUUAUAUAAAUGCUUUUGUAUUGUAUUGCAUUUCCAUAAAUGGCACAUGACAGCAUUUCUUCAAUGCUACUCAAAUACAUUUCAUUUGUAUAUUACAGUAUUUAAGACCAACUUGGUUUAAUUCUGACUUAAGCGUGGCGUCCUGGCUAAUGAAAACACCAACACUGCACCCUAGUGGGCGAGAACAACAUUGCAUUGCAUCUCACUGUAAAAAUACAUUAAUUACAGCAGCAUGGUGUGAAGUCUGUAUAUCUUGGAGCCAGUCUUAAUCUCACACUAUGAUGUAGGUAGCAAACUCCACUCCCCCACCAUGAAUCCAAUUCAUGGACGCAGAUGGAGGAACAGCCAUCUCCACACCCCUGCUUGAGGAUUAUUGAUGUCCUUGCACUAUAUUUAGCUGUUACCCAUCUGGUGGCACACACACCCUUUUCCAAAUAAAAAUGACCAAAGCCAAGGCUAAACUCUGCACUCAGACUCACCUCUGGCUAGAAACAUUCAGCACAAUGAUCGAUCACUCCACAUUUUAUUGCAAUGGUAGUGGAGGACUAAAUUCGUUUACUAAAUUCUUCUCCCUACUUCCCUACUCCGAAAAGCAGUACAAGAAAUGUCCAAAUUCCCAGCAUUCAGAAAACGGCAAGCAAAAUUAUUUUGCUAUUCUAAGUUCUAACUGUCUAAUGCAGCGCUUCACAGUUUUAACCAGAAAAAGUCUCACUUGUUUAGAUUGGACACUGCAAAAAAAAAACCACUGCUGUUGUGCACAGGGUAGAUUGGAAGUAUUUUACAUCUCCUCUGGCAUUUCGGUUUGACUUUAUUAUCGACACUCUUUCCAUUCAAGCCUCUGCUCUCCUCUUUACUCACACUUCAUCUGUAAUUCUAAUAUAGUCUGCAGUGACACCUCAGAGAAUCCACAGCUCACAACCCAAUUAGUGUUGACCUACAGAGGUGUCACCUUUAAAUAGGACAUAUUUCAUUUUUGGCAUCAUGAAAUAGUAUUAUUAUCUAUGUUGUCUGUGUUGCAGAGCCAAUUUCCAUGAUAAUGUGUCAGUUCUAAAACAAUACGGUCUGACAGCAGAGACUAAAUAGCUUCUGUUAACUAUUGUGAACUAACUGAUAACACUGACCUACGAGUAUUCGUGGAUUCUGGCAGCAGUCCUUGCGUUAAUGCUCACAUUAACCUUAUUAACCUUCUUGUAACUGCAGUUUCCCUCUAACAGAACUUGUAGCCAUUGAGUAUAAUAUGACAAGGUGCUGCUGUUUUACAUAUGUGAUUUUAGUGAUAAUCAUACUAUAUUAUAAAACCAUGUGGGCUUCACAGGGGAAAUCAUCACAAAGGUGGAUGCAACAUGAUUCUGAAUGUCGCUCUUUGAAUGAUGCAUAAUAUUUAAAACAUGCUUCACAUGGUCUGACAUUCUGAACCACUUCAAACAACUAACUUUCUUUUGACAGAGCCUUUAAUGGACAAAAAAGAGUAAAGAACCAUAGUCAUAAUACCAAGAAAAAACAAAUCCUAUUCAGAUAUUACAAAUGGCCAUUUAAAAAGAGAUAU